UUUUCUGCCACCGAAUACAUUAGCAUGGGAUAAUGGAAUAGGACCCUGUCCUCCUAUUUUCAGUUGGUUUUGGCAGCGCGAGGACUAGGGUAAUGAUUAAUAGGGAUAGUUGGGGGCAUUAAUAUUUAAUUGUCAGAGGUGAAAUUCUUGGAUUUAUGAAAGAUUAACUUCUGCGAAAGCAUCUGCCAAGGAUGUUUUCAUUAAUCAAGAACGAAAGUUAGGGGAUCGAAGACGAUCAGAUACCGUCGUAGUCUUAACCAUAAACGAUGCCGACCAGCGAUUAGGAGACGUUGAAUACAAAACACCACCAUCGGCGCGGUCGUCCUUGGCGUCUCGGUCCUUCACGGGGCCGGGGCGCGGGGGCGGCUUAGCCCGGUGGCACCGGUGAAUGACUCCCUAGCAG
rnacentral:rRNA from 1 species